rnacentral:rRNA from 1 species
AUUACCUACGGGAGGCAGCAGUGGGGGAUAUUGCACAAUGGGGGAAACCCUGAUGCAGCGACGCCGCGUGGGUGAAGAAGCGCCUCGGCGCGUAAAGCCCUGUCAGCAGGGAAGAAAAUGACGGUACCUGAAGAAGAAGCCCCGGCUAACUACGUGCCAGCAGCCGCGGUAAUACGUAGGGGGCAAGCGUUAUCCGGAUUUACUGGGUGUAAAGGGAGCGUAGACGGCAGCGCAAGUCUGGAGUGAAAUGCCGGGGCCCAACCCCGGAACUGCUCUGGAAACUGUGAAGAGGGAGAGCAGGAGCG